rnacentral:tRNA from 1 species
UAUAUUAUAGUUUAUAAAAACAUUAGAUUGCAAGUUUAAAAAUAUUUAAUUUAAAUUAAUAUAU